GAAGUCAUCAAAGACAGCCCAACUCACAGCCCAUGAGGGACCCUGAGUACUGCCUCUGACCUCUCUAUGGCAAGCCAAAUGGCCAUGGGAAGACCCCAUGGAGUGUCAGAAUGAUGCCGUUGAGGGCAAGGAUUUUAGACCGGUCAUGGAUUCUGCCUGUGCACUGGGCUCUACCACUUUCUAGCUAUCUGGCUACUAGCAAGUUACCUUAACAAUCUAAGUUUCAACCUCCCCAUUCGUGAAAUGGAGAUGAUGUCUUAGUCAUAGAAGUAGCAAGUCUACUGCAUAUCAACAGUGUAGCACUGAGCCUGGCUCUUUAUAAGGAAACAGGCCGAGAGACGCAAGUCAAACAGCAAAGGAUGGUCUGCUGUCUGUCUGACUCCAAUGCCAAUGGUCUUUCCUCUAUAACCUAAAGCAAUAAAACCCCUGCA
rnacentral:lncRNA from 10 species